CUGGGUAUGAGGUUAAAGCUCGGCUCUCCUGUAAUUGGGUCUGUCUGAUAUUGCUGUCGUAAUGAAUGCCAGGGCCCACCUUUAAAAGAGGUUACGUGUAAGGACUCAAAGCGGCCCGUGACACAGUAAGUUUUUGGUUUAAACAAAAAUGCUGGUUAGCAGAACGAUGCUGUACAGACGUCGUCCAGAUCCAAAUAAAGAUGGGAAACGCCUUGUAGCAUUUGCUGGGACGAACAAGGAUUCCAAUCGCGGUAGAUUGGUCAUUCAAAUGGAUCUAGUGAACCUGUCAAAGGCUUGCUGGAAUUCUGCGUAGUUCUUUCAACCCAAGUAUUGCUGAAGAUGAGCCAUCACCUGUUCUCGAAGCCGCCCUUUCCAGGCACCAGUUGCAUGCUCCAUAAUUAUUGCUACUGCUAUACAUACCCUUGGAACGUUGGUGAUAGAUGUAUAAAUGUAUCCAGCUGAAUUAUACGACUAAUGGGUCUAUUUCACUGUCCAAGCAGGCAUGUCAAUAACUAUACCCUCCUUGACUCGCUUGUGAUCGUAGAUGUAAAUAUUCUAAUAUCAAAUUGUAAAUGAAUUUGAAUAUUAUACUAGUGCAGAUAAAAGCCUAUGAAGAAUAUAAUUGUGCAUUGGACUGGUACAUAUGGACUAAUGAGACCCGUGCUUGCGCAAAGUUGGAAUUAAAACUACAGCAACAACAGCAACAGCAACAACCCCUCAUCCUUUAGCAGCACAAGUACAGUGGGAUAAAAGGAGACAUACGAUAUGGCUGUGCAAAUUAAUUGUGACUGAUACCAAUUUGCAGGUCUUGAAAGCUGAAAAUCGAAGGGCGUACAGAGACUUGUUGAAUAGCACAGAUAACAGAAGACUCCAAGAUAUAGGUUUUGAAAAAUUCAAUCAAACAUUUUCAAAAUUACCACUAUCUAUUGGAGAAAUAGACAAAGAAUUGAUAAUAUCGCAGGCGACAAUAUUCUGUCUCUCGAAAGCACCAGAUGAAGAAAACGCGAAUAAUUGCUGAGGAAGCUUCGAGGGUGCUGAUUGGAGGGAUACCCUACUACUAUCUGCAUAAUAUUAUCAUAAUAUACAUACAAUGUAAUCGACUUUCCGUGUUGGUGCUGUGAACGAGAUAUUAUGACAGUGACACCAUACUCAUUUGCCAAGAAAUAUAGCUGUUAUGAAAUAUAAGUCAGAAAAAUGUUUCGGUAAGAGACUACAUCCCGAACACCUUUUUUUGGAGAUACUUAAGGAAUAUACAGAAAGGGGGCUAUUCUGUUUCUUUCUUCAAUACUCUGCGCCUCAGGCUCAUUCGUGCUUCCACACUCUUACUGUGUACACCACUCAUGUGGUCUCUUGUAUCGGAAUAUACUAUUGCCUAUGAGUAUGUAGGAAGAUGUAUAAUGUUACAGCAGUAUUAAUACAUAGGUAGGUAUCGAGGAGGCCCAGAUCCAUAUACAGGACGAAGAAGAAGCGGACAGCAAACUCGUCACACCUGGCCUAGUGCACACCAGUGUUCAAUGAUUAAAUCAACUGUUCAAUCAAUUGUUUGGAUAAUUAUUAAGGGGAAUAAUAAAUUCUAUGCAUGUAAAAGUAAA
rnacentral:lncRNA from 1 species